UACGAAGGGGGCUAGCGUUGUUCGGAAUUACUGGGCGUAAAGGGUGCGUAGGCGGGUCUUUAAGUCAGGGGUGAAAUCCUGGAGCUCAACUCCAGAACUGCCUUUGAUACUGAAGAUCUUGAGUUCGGGAGAGGUGAGUGGAACUGCGAGUGUAGAGGUGAAAUUCGUAGAUAUUCGCAAGAACACCAGUGGCGAAGGCGGCUCACUGGCCCGAUACUGACGCUGAGGCACGAAAGCGUGGGGAGCAAACAGGG
rnacentral:rRNA from 1 species